UCCAUGUGUCACUUCUGGACAGAGGCAAUGAAAAUCUGUUGUGUGAUCCUCCUCAUUCUUUUUCAACCACUUAGACUGUGGUGGCUAUAUAUGGAGAUUCUGGAGCCACAAGAUAAAACCAGUCUAGAUCUCUGACUCAUGUGGAAGGGAGCUGCCCUGGAGAGCCAGUGGACUUCCAGCUGACAUUCUUUCAAGAAUCACAAUUUACAAACCUAAUAAGUGAAGAAGUUGUUCGCGUUGAAGUAAAAAUUUUCAAACUUCUAAGUUUAUAGACCGUCAUGAAGAUCUUCCCCCUCACUCAUCCUCAUCAGAGACCUUUCCCUUCUUGCUAUAUUUGAUAUUACUUUUCAAAGCUGAAAGUAUUUAUCAUGACUGAAUCAAGUUCCUCCGAAAUUGAUAUGCUGAAGUCCCGAAACCUCAAUACCUCAGAAUGCAACCAUUUUUGGAGAUAAUGUGUUUAAAGAGGUGGUUAAACUAAAAUGAUCCCAUUAGGGUGGAGUUCUAAAUCAAUAUGACUGGUGUCCUUAUAAGACGAGAAAGAGACACUAACGACUCCUAUACACAGAAGAUAAUCCUGAGAAGAAGCAACAAGAGGACCGUCUCCUGCAAACCAAGGAGAGUGAGGCCUCAGAGGCAACCAACUUUGCCAGCACCUUGAUCUUCGAUUUCUAGCCUCCAGAUAUGUGACAAAAUAAAUUUCUGUUGUUUAAGCUUCCCUGCCUGUGGUACAGUUGUUCCUCUAACAUCUGUGGGGGAUUGUAUCGAAAUCUGUAGAUGCUCAAGUCCCUGAUAUAAAAGAUGAGGUAUUUUCAUAUAACCUAUGUACAUCCUCUGUAUCCUUUAAAUUAUCUGUAGAUUACUUAUAAUAGGCUGGUCCAAGUGCAGUAGCAUUUGCAACUAAUU